GGAUUUAGCUCAGUGGUAGAGCGUUUGCCUAGCAAGCGCAAGGCCCUGGGUUCGGUCCCCAGAUCUG
rnacentral:tRNA from 1 species